CAGCGUCUUCGGAGGCUAUGCCCUGGCGGGCAGCCCCUUCGUGAACACGAUGAAGUCGCAGGUGAACACCUUCGUGAAACAGGCGCUCGCCAAGUACAGCGGCCGGUUCGUCUUCACCUUCAACUUCUACCCGUACUUUGACAC
rnacentral:snRNA from 1 species